AGCGAACGCUGGCGGCAGGCCUAACACAUGCAAGUCGAGCGGGCAUCCCGGGUGUGUCGGCGGCCGACGGGUGAGUGACGCGUGAGAACGUGCCAUGCGCGUCGUAAUAACCCGGGGGAAGUGCAAAUAAUACCGGAUACCUUCGAGAGCAGGAAGGAUUUUCUGCCGAAGGAUCGGCCCGCGUCUGAUUAGCUAGUUGGUAAGGUUAUGGCUCACCAAGGCGACGAUCAGUAGCUGGUCUGAGAGGAUGAUCAGCCACACUGGGACUGAGACACGGCCCAGACUCCUACGGGAGGCAGCAGUGGGGAAUAUUGGACAAUGGGGGAAAGCCUGAUCCAGCCAUGCCGCGUGAGUGAUGAAGGCCUUAGGGUUGUAAAGCUCUUUUCUCCGGGACGAUAAUGACGGUACCGGGAGAAUAAGCCCCGGCUAACUUCGUG
rnacentral:rRNA from 1 species